rnacentral:rRNA from 1 species
GGAUGAACGCUAGCUACAGGCUUAACACAUGCAAGUCGAGGGGCAGCAUUUCAGUUUGCUUGCAAACUGGAGAUGGCGACCGGCGCACGGGUGAGUAACACGUAUCCAACCUGCCGAUAACUCGGGGAUAGCCUUUCGAAAGAAAGAUUAAUACCCGAUGGCAUAAUUAGACCGCAUGGUCUUAUUAUUAAAGAAUUUCGGUUAUCGAUGGGGAUGCGUUCCAUUAGGCAGUUGGUGAGGUAACGGCUCACCAAACCUUCGAUGGAUAGGGGUUCUGAGAGGAAGGUCCCCCACAUUGGAACUGAGACACGGUCCAAACUCCUACGGGAGGCAGCAGUGAGGAAUAUUGGUCAAUGGGCGCAGGCCUGAACCAGCCAAGUAGCGUGAAGGAUGACUGCCCUAUGGGUUGUAAACUUCUUUUAUAUGGGAAUAAAGUUUUCCACGUGUGGAAUUUUGUAUGUACCAUAUGAAUAAGGAUCGGCUAACUCCGUGCCAGCAGCCGCGGUAAUACGGAGGAUCCGAGCGUUAUCCGGAUUUAUUGGGUUUAAAGGGAGCGUAGGUGGACAGUUAAGUCAGUUGUGAAAGUUUGCGGCUCAACCGUAAAAUUGCAGUUGAUACUGGCUGUCUUGAGUACAGUAGAGGUGGGCGGAAUUCGUGGUGUAGCGGUGAAAUGCUUAGAUAUCACGAAGAACUCCGAUUGCGAAGGCAGCUCACUGGACUGCAACUGACACUGAUGCUCGAAAGUGUGGGUAUCAAACAGGAUUAGAUACCCUGGUAGUCCACACAGUAAACGAUGAAUACUCGCUGUUUGCGAUAUAUAGUAAGCGGCCAAGCGAAAGCAUUAAGUAUUCCACCUGGGGAGUACGCCGGCAACGGUGAAACUCAAAGGAAUUGACGGGGGCCCGCACAAGCGGAGGAACAUGUGGUUUAAUUCGAUGAUACGCGAGGAACCUUACCCGGGCUUAAAUUGCAUUUGAAUAAUCUGGAAACAGGUUAGCCGCAAGGCAAAUGUGAAGGUGCUGCAUGGUUGUCGUCAGCUCGUGCCGUGAGGUGUCGGCUUAAGUGCCAUAACGAGCGCAACCCUUAUCUUUAGUUACUAACAGGUCAUGCUGAGGACUCUAGAGAGACUGCCGUCGUAAGAUGUGAGGAAGGUGGGGAUGACGUCAAAUCAGCACGGCCCUUACGUCCGGGGCUACACACGUGUUACAAUGGGGGGUACAGAAGGCAGCUACCUGGUGACAGGAUGCUAAUCCCAAAAGCCUCUCUCAGUUCGGAUCGAAGUCUGCAACCCGACUUCGUGAAGCUGGAUUCGCUAGUAAUCGCGCAUCAGCCAUGGCGCGGUGAAUACGUUCCCGGGCCUUGUACACACCGCCCGUCAAGCCAUGAAAGCCGGGGGUACCUGAAGUACGUAACCGCAAGGAGCGUCCUAGGGUAAAAC